rnacentral:tRNA from 34 species
GGAAGAAUGGCAGAGCGGUUUAAUGCACCUGUCUUGAAAACAGGAGACCUGAAAGGGUCCGGGGGUUCGAAUCCCUCUUCUUCCGC